AGAGUUUGAUCCUGGCUCAGGAUGAACGCUGGCGGUGUGGAUAAGGCAUGCAAGUCAAGGGGCCCGCAAGGGCACCGGCGAACGAGGUAGUAACACGUGGGAACAUACCCUUUAGUCAGGAAUAGCUAGUCGAAAGACUAGAUAAUACUUGAUGGUCUCUUCGGAGUAAAGAUUUAUCGCUAAAGGAAUGGCCUGCGGAGUAUCAGCUAGUUGGUAGUGUAAUGGACUACCAAGGCUAUGACGCUUAGGGGAGGUGAGAGCCUGACCCCCAUCGAUGGAACUGAGACACGGUCCAUACACCUACGGGUGGCUGCAGCCGAGAAUAUUCGACAAUGGGCGAAAGCCUGAUCGAGCGACACCGCGUGAUGGAUGAAGUCCUUAGGGACGUAAGCAUCUUUUAUGAGGGAGAAAGUUUAUUGAUAGUACCUCACGAAUAAGGGGUUGCUAAACUCGUGCCAGCAGCAGCGGUAAUACGAGUGCCCCGAGCGUUAUCCGGAAUUAUUGGGCGUAAAGGGUGUGUAGGUGGCAGUGUUAGUCAGACGUUAAAGCCCGAGGCUUAACCUCGGAAAUGCGUUUGAAACGGCACAGCUAGAGGAUGCGAGGGAUGAAUGGAACUCAUGGAGCAGGGGUGAAAUCCGUUGAUAUCAUGGGGAACACCAAAAGCGAAGGCAGUUCAUUGGCGCACUCCUGACACUGAAACACGAAAGCGUGGGUAGCGAAUGGGAUUAGAUACCCCAGUAGUCCACGCCCUAAACGAUGACAACUAGCUUUUCGGAGUAUCGACCCUCUGAGAGGCGAAGCUAACGCGUUAAGUUGUCCGCCUGGGUAGUACGGCCGCAAGGCUAAAACUCAAAGGAAUAGACGGGGACUUGCACAAGCAGAGGAUUAUGUGGUUUAAUUCGAUGAUAAACGAAAAACCUUACCAAGGUUUGAAACCUAACUGAAGACAAGCAGAAACGUUUGUCGUCUCACAAGGACAGUUAGGCAGGUGAUGCAUGGCCGUCGUCAGUUCGUGAUUUGAAUUGUUCCCUUAAGUGGGACAACGA
rnacentral:rRNA from 1 species